CCAAAUUGAUGGACAUCGACUCCAGCAGAGUUUCCCAUAUAAAAUAGAAAGAAGGUAGUUGUUUUGUGAUUCCAGUAAAACAGACUCAUAUAAAAAACAGCAAUGAUAUCGCAGAAGAAAGAUAUUUGUAGGCAAAACAGAGCAUAACAAUUAGUUUUGAAAUGUCAAUCAAAGUCACAUGGGUGAAAAAGCGCGCGCAAAGACUAUGGAAAAGCGUGAGGCGGUUAGUUUUGGUUUCACUGUAGAACUCUGAGGAGACAAGCAUCAACAGUUUGUAGAAAGAAUGCCCAAAGCAGGAGCGAGUGGUAAUUCCACUCGCGAUGCGAGUUAUAAAAAGAGGAACAAAGCAAGAAAAAAGAAGCAGAAGAAAGGAGCUAUUCAAAAAAAAACAACAAAAACUGGACGUAAAGCGCCACAAGCGAAUAAAAGUCGCAGUAAAAGUCGCGCUAAAGGUUGGUGCAGCAGUCAAUAAAAGUUUACCUCGAGCAUUGCACCAUUCAGUAGAUAAGGUGGGUUUUAUGUUUCUAUUUAAAAAGUGAAAGUGAUUCAGUCCCGUUUUGUGCUCUAACUCACCAUAAAAUUGCGCGCCACAAAGCUUCAGUUUCACCACCACUUCAUUUGUACAUUUAUCGAUGUUUCUAUACUAUAAAAAAGGCCCUUAAGUAAAAGUUGUGUAGUCAGAUAUUUCCUCUAAGAAUUGCGCGCUAACAGAACACGCUUCCCGACUGCAGCUUUAAGCGGUGACAAAGCAAAAACUUCACUUAUAUUCAUUGCUUAGAAUCAGUGAUUCCAAUGAAUCGUUUAGCCAAAGUGGCAUGCUUUUCUUGGUGGUAAUUACAUCAUUAGUGAAAACUGAAACGCACAAAUCCUCUACAAAAAUCCUAAAAAAUUGUAAAGAAUUUAAAACCAUCUCAGGUAACAAAAGCAAAAUACAAGAUAUCCUCAGCGCAGAUGAUCAUCUUCACUGCCACAAAGCUUGUAUGCGGAUUUAAGGUUUUGAUAACGCAAAGCUAUAUGAACAUUUUUAAGUAAAGACACUGCAUUCUUCAUGUCUUUCAGGAACAUCGCGAAAGAAAAGGACAGAGAGAGUUGAUGACGAUCUUGAAGAUGCUUCAAGGAACUGAACUUUUAUCUCUUUGAACUGUUCCCUGCUGUUUACGCAAUCAAGCAUUAGAUGUCAGAAGAACAACAAUAUUAACAGUAGAAAGACUGUAUAGUUUUUUUAAGUUCCUGCAAGUAUUUUAAGUUUUUUCUAGGUUCCCCUAUGUUUCUUAAUUAGCUAAGCGAAAGUUUCUUUUUUAACAUUUACACUCUUGUACUAGGAUAGGAAUAAAUGUAACACUUUUUUCUUUGUGCAGGAAAA